rnacentral:rRNA from 1 species
GUGAGGAAUUUUCCGCAAUGGGCGAAAGCCUGACGGAGCAAUGCCGCGUGAAGGAUGAAGGCCUAUGGGUUGUAAACUUCUUUUCUCAGAAAAGAAUUAUGACGGUAUCUGAGGAAUAAGCAUCGGCUAACUCUGUGCCAGCAGCCGCGGUAAGACAGAGGAUGCAAGCGUUAUCCGGAAUGAUUGGGCGUAAAGCGUCUGUAGGUUGUUUAAAAAGUAUUCUGUCAAAGAUUAGGGCUUAACCCUAGAUAGGCAGAAUAAACUUUUAAGCUAGAGUGUGGUAGAGGCAGAGGGAAUUCCCGGUGGAGCGGUGAAAUGCGUAGAUAUCGGGAGGAACACCAAAGGCGAAGGCACUCUGCUGGGCCAAUACUAACACUGAGAGAUGAAAGCGAGGGGAGCAAAUGGGAUUAGAUACCCUUGUAGUCC